rnacentral:rRNA from 1 species
CAAAAUGUAGCUUAACCAAAGCAUUUAGCUUACACCUAAAAGAUUUCAGCUAACCCUGACCAUUUUGAGCGAGAUCUAGUCCUAAAAUUAAAUAAAUCUAAAUUAUUUCCUCUAACCUUCAAAACAUUUAUUUUAUCCUAGUAUAGGUGAUAGAACAGAUAAUAUUCAGGCACGAUAACGAAAGUACCGCGAGGGAACUUUGAAAGAUCCUUAAAACAACCUGUAAGCAACAAAAAGCAAAGAUUAAACCUUAUACCUUUUGCAUAAUGAUUUAGCCAGUCAAAUCGGACAAAAAGAAUUAAAGCCCGACUCCCCGAAAUUAAGUGAGCUAUUGUAGAACAGUUGACAGAACGAACUCGUCUAUGUGGCAAAAUAGUGAGAUGAUUUUACAAUAGGGGUGAAAAGCCUAGUCGAACUUAAUGAUAGCUGGUUGUCCAAAAAACGAAUUUAAGUUCAGCUUUAAAUUUAAUAUAAGUACCUCAAAACGAAACUUAAAUUUAAAAGAUAUUCAAAAGGGGGACAUCUCUUUUGAUACGUAAACAAACUUUAAUAGAGGGUAAUGAAUUAUUUAUUUAUUCCAAACAUUGUAGGCCUAAAAGCAGCCCCCCAAUUAAGAAAGCGUUAAAGCUCAAAUUCCUAAUAUAUUUUAUACCAAAAAUUAUUCAAAACCCCUAUAUCAAUAUGGGACAAUUCUAUAUUUAUAUAGAAGAUAUAAUGCUAAUAUGAGUAACAUGAAUUUAUUCUCCUUGCAUAAACUUAAUUUCAGCUUGGAACAUCCACUACUACUUAAUCAAAUAAAUAGUCGCACCCACAAACUAGCACUCUAUUACUAUUAUUGUUAACCCAACUCAGGCAUGCACUUAAAGGAAAGAUUAAAAGGAAUAAAAGGAACUCGGCAAACACAAGCCCCGCCUGUUUACCAAAAACAUCACCUCUAGCACUUACAAGUAUUAGAGGCACUGCCUGCCCGGUGAGUUAUUAACUUUAACGGCCGCGGUAUCCUGACCGUGCAAAGGUAGCAUAAUCACUUGUCUCUUAAAUGGGGACUAGUAUGAAUGGCAUCACGAGGGCUUAACUGUCUCUUAUUCCCAAUCAGUGAAAUUGACCUUCCCGUGCAGAGGCGGGAAUACUAAUACAAGACGAGAAGACCCUGUGGAGCUUAAGACACAUAACUCAACACAUACUUACUUCAACCUACUGGAACAAAAUGUAUAAAGUCCUGAGUUAUAGUCUUUGGUUGGGGUGACCUCGGAGUACAAAACAACCUCCGAAUGAAAUUAACCUAGAUUAACGAAUCUAAGUGUAUAAAUACCAGUAAUUGACCCAAUUAUUUGAUCAACGGAACAAGUUACCCCAGGGAUAACAGCGCAAUCCUAUUUGAGAGCCCAUAUCGAAAAUUAGGGUUUACGACCUCGAUGUUGGAUCAGGACAUCCAAAUGGUGCAGCAGCUAUUAAUGGUUCGUUUGUUCAACGAUUAAAGUCCUACGUGAUCUGAGUUCAGAACGGAGAAAUCCAGGCCGGUUUCUAUCGGAAAAUAAAUUUCUCCCAGUACCAAAGGACAAGAAAAAUGGGGCCAACGUCCCUAAUGAGCCCUAGAACUAAUAUAUGAAUUCAUCUUAAUACCUUAAAUUCAAUAAAAUUUCCCCCCCCCCCAAGACCAGGGGAAUUAAAA